rnacentral:rRNA from 1 species
UACGUAGGGCGCAAGCGUUGUCCGGAAUUAUUGGGCGUAAAGAGCUCGUAGGCGGUUUGUCGCGUCUGCUGUGAAAACCUAAGGCUCAACCUUGGGCUUGCAGUGGGUACGGGCAGACUAGAAUUCGGUAGGGGAGACUGGAAUUCCUGGUGUAGCGGUGAAAUGCGCAGAUAUCAGGAGGAACACCGGUGGCGAAGGCGGGUCUCUGGGCCGAUAUUGACGCUGGGGAGCGAAAGCGUGGGGAGCGAACAGG